rnacentral:rRNA from 1 species
UACGUAGGGAGCAAGCGUUGUCCGGAAUCAUUGGGCGUAAAGCGCGCGUAGGCGGCCUUGUAAGUCCGUUGUGAAAGUCAAAGGCUCAACCUUUGAAAGCCGAUGGAUACUGCCGGGCUAGAGUCCGGAAGAGGCGAGUGGAACUCCUGGUGUAGCGGUGGAAUGCGCAGAUAUCAGGAAGAACACCAACGGCGAAGGCAGCUCGCUGGGACGGUACUGACGCUGAGACGCGAAAGCGUGGGGAGCGAACAGG